rnacentral:pre_miRNA from 1 species
UCUUAUGAUGAGCAAAGAAAGUGGCCUCUUGAGAUGGAAUCUACUCUUGGUGAAGAUACUGUGAA